GGAACUGAAGUCAGUGGGGAUCCUGCCUCUCUCUGAGAGGACAGGUGUUUCCAGCCCCACUCCACGGUGGCUGGCUGUUCAGCGUCACUGAGGCUCCCUGGGCCCUGCUCUGCUGAGAGUUUACUUUCUGCUAACCUCUUUAAUGUGUCUGUUUGUUUGAGCCUCCCAACAACUGUGUGAGGCGAGCAGAAUUAGCUCCCCUACUUUGCAGACGACAAAACUGGAGAGACUGAAUGAGGUGCAGCUAAGAACGGGGAUUCCGAUGCAAGUCUGCUACCUCCAAAGGAAAGCAAGCCAAGGAGUCAGAAGGGGGAGGCAGUCCCAUUGCCCUGCCCUGCGCCAGGUCUUCUGUGCACGCUGGAGUGGUUGUGGGAAUGAGCACAGGGUUUGGAGAAGCCAAGCUCCCAGUCAAGGCUGCCUCUGGCCCUGGAAGGAUCCCACUGAACCUGUCUAAAGAGCAUUCUCCUUGCUGAUGGAAGUAGUUGAAGUUGGAGACAAUGACGGGCACAGGCAGGGCGAUGGUGAGGACCCCAGCGAUGGCACACAGCGAGCCCACGAUCUU